UACAGAGGGUGCGAACGUUGUUCGGAAUUAUUGGGCGUAAAGGGCGCGUAGGCGGUGCGGUAAGUCACCUGUGAAAUCUCCUGGCUCAACUGGGAGCUUGCAGGCGAAACUGCCGUGCUGGAGUGUGGGAGAGGUGCGUGGAAUUCCCGGUGUAGCGGUGAAAUGCGUAGAUAUCUGGAGGAACACCGGUGGCGAAGGCGGCAUUCUGGACCGAUAUUGACGCUGAGGAGCGAAAGCCAGGGGAGCAAAGCGGG
rnacentral:rRNA from 1 species